CCUCCCUCUCUGCUCCCAGCUGUUAAGAGCUCAGUGUUGAUCAGAGGCUGUCCAGGCCUUUCAGAGCCACUGAACCACCAGCAGCACAAUGAUGAUGUUACUGACUCUACUGCUGACCAUCCUGGAGCUCCUGGUUCAGGGUUCAUCAGUAGACAUCAUCACGACUCAGACUCCUGGAUCUCAGUCUGUUGUUCAGGGUCAGACUGUCUCCAUCAAAUGUAAAACCAGUUAUUUUGUUUCUAAUGAUCUCCACUGGUACCUUCAGAAACCUGCAGAAGCUCCUAAACUCCUGAUAUAUGAAGCUACAACUCGUCAGCCUGGAGUUCCAGAUCGUUUCAGUGGAAGUGGUUUUAGUUCUGACUUCACUCUGACCAUCAGUGGAGUUCAGGCUGAAGAUUCAGGAGUUUAUUACUGUCAGAGUUAUCUCAAUGACUAUGUGUUCACACAGUGA